CAGUGUGUGGCGCAGUUUGGUAGCGCGCUUGCUCGGGAUGCAAGAGGUCGCAGGUUCAAAUCCUGCUACACUGA
rnacentral:tRNA from 1 species